rnacentral:rRNA from 1 species
GUGGAUUAGAUACCCUGGUAGUCCACGCCGUAAACGAUGUCUACUAGCUGUUCGUGACCUUGUGUCGUGAGUAGCGCAGCUAACGCAUUAAGUAGACCGCCUGGGGAGUACGGUCGCAAGAUUAAAACUCAAAUGAAUUGACGGGGGCCCGCACAAGCGGUGGAGCAUGUGGUUUAAUUCGACGCAACGCGAAGAACCUUACCUACUCUUGACAUCUACAGAAGACUGCAGAGAUGCGGUUGUGCCUUCGGGAACUGUAAGACAGGUGCUGCACGGCCGUCGUCAACU